ensembl:snRNA U5 U5 spliceosomal RNA
CUACUCUAGUUUCUCUUCAGAUUGUAUAAAUCUUUCACCUUUUACUAAAGAUUUCCAUGGAGAGGAACAACUGUGUCUUAAACCAAUUUUUUGAGGCUUGCUUUUUAGCAGGGA